rnacentral:misc_RNA from 1 species
CUGGGUGGCGCAGCCGCCCCAAACCCAGGCACCGCAUUCUGUCUGAAAGAAUGCGGUGUUUUUAUUGGGGCGGCUGCGCCACCCAG